CUCCCACUCUCCCUUCCUACCUUUCUUUCUACAAGGCUUUAAGUUCUCCCAGUCACCUAUCCUUUGCCCAGCCCUGUCCUGGGCACACAGACAUGAUUCCUGAAAAACCUUCAGUGGAGCAUGGGCAAGACAUCAUUUGAAUAUGCAGUGUGUGGCAACCGGGUGGAGUCAACAACCUGAUUCCAGAGGAGGAGGCUAUUAGCCAGACUGGAGGACCAGCCCCGUAUGAACCGCUCCGCGCGGGACAGGAACACGAGGACGUGUACUGCUACUGCGGCAACCCGGCUCUGCUCCAAGCCAGUGCAGACCCCACGGCCCACCACUGAGGGCACCUGGCUUACAGGGUGGCCUUCUACAUGCACCCCGCCCCUCAGCCUCCUGCCACAAACUGCCAUCCUGUGCCAGCCAGCUGGAACCAAUGUCACCGCACACAGAGCCCCAGCUGCCCCGGCUGCAGAUGAAGAGGAAGAGAAAGCAAUCUAGAGGGAUUGAGGGUGGCAAGAAGAAAAGACAGUGAGCAGGGGGAAGAAGAGGAGAGGAGGGAAUUGCAUUCUCGAAUUCAGCCCAGCGUCAGCAAUAUCCAGUUCAAGGCCAGGAAUGGAUUUCUAGGCUCCAGAUGCUCAUGGAUAGACCCAAGGCCAUUUCCUUCAGGAAGACUUUCGUGCAUUAAUUUUGUUCCUUCCAAACUAGCCUCUGUCCUAUCUGCCUCAGUUAUUUCAGUCAUUCAGUCUAUUCAAUUGAGAACUUUAUUAUAAACUCACAAGUUGUUCUCCAACUGUUGUGUCAGGUUUUUUUUUAAGCCAGAACUGACGAUGGUCAGAGACUGAGAGAUGGGGUAAGGGUGGAGCAAGGGGCAGAGGGCAAAGGAUUAGGAAUGCCAAGAUCAAGAAAGAGUAAGGGGCGGAGGCAGGGCUCACUGUGAAGCUGCAGUGACUGACUUUGAAUCACUUUGCUUCUCAGCCACAGUCCACAGGUUACAGAGCCCUAAAUGGCCAUGCCAGUGCUAGUCACAGGUUUCCAGAAAUCCUGGAGACUCUGCUGGGACAAUCCAUUCCCCUAAAAUAACAUCUUUUCUUCAGUCCUCAAGUUACCUCCUCUGUGUGUGGGGAGCUGGGAAAGGGGUGGGGGUAGGGGGUGUGGGGGUUGGUAGUAGGGAGGGCUUACCUCCCUGAGUAUUUCCUGUGUGUACAGCCAGGCCACAGACCCCAGACCCUCGGGGCCUGACCCACGAACUGGGGGACCAGGACAUGCAGGCAGUGGCUGCAGAGGAAAGAUUACCGCGCACAGGAGGGAACCAGCUCCAGGCUUCCUGCCAGAUGCAAG
rnacentral:lncRNA from 1 species